CUUACCAGGUCUUGACAUCCUCUGAAAACCCUAGAGAUAGGGGUUCUCCUUCGGGAGCAGAGUGACAGGUGGUGCAUGGUUGUCGUCAGCUCGUGUCGUGAGAUGUUGGGUUAAGUCCCGCAACGAGCGCAACCCUUGAUCUUAGUUGCCAUCAUUAAGUUGGGCACUCUAAGGUGACUGCCGGUGACAAACCGGAGGAAGGUGGGGAUGACGUCAAAUCAUCAUGCCCCUUAUGACCUGGGCUACACACGUGCUACAAUGGACGGUACAAAGAGCUGCAAGACCGCGAGGUGGAGCUAAUCUCAUAAAACCGUUCUCAGUUCGGAUUGUAGGCUGCAAUUCGCCUACAUGAAGCUGGAAUCGCUAGUAAUCGCGGAUCAGCAUGCCGCGGUGAAUACGUUCCCGGGCCUUGUACACACCGCC
rnacentral:rRNA from 1 species